GUUUGUUCUACUCCUUCAAAAUAUAAAAGGAGAGAAAAAAUAAAGGUUUAUAUCUUUUCAUCCAUGUAGUAUAGCAGCAUAUGUAGGACUGUGAGGCAUCAUGAACCAAAUUAGGACACAUAAAGUUGGCUAGCCAUCAAGCGGUGAAAAUUUAUCUACAUUGAGGUUAUAGAAUCCUGAUGCUAUGAAACAAUUCAUGGCUGGAAAAUUUAUUUUUGCAAGUUAUUUUUAGAUGACAAUGGCAUCAAGCUGAAGGGAUGGUGUAAAAUGUUGGAAGAAAUGGUCUUGGACUUUGCUUCUAAGUUUGGAUAAAAUAUGAGGAGAUUGGAAGCUUAAUUACCUUUAGUGUGAUUUUUAAUGUACCUUUAGUGUUUUGCUUUUUCAUAU
rnacentral:lncRNA from 1 species